UCUUUGUUCUCUUUGAAAAAACUACCUAAAUUUGAUGAUAUUAAUUUAGAAUUAAUGUUUUAACUGAAUAUGAAUUAUUUAACAUUCUUAUUUCCCAGGAUGCUGUAGUAUGACUCAAUUAUCUGCGUACAGUAGUUGUUUCUUUUCAGUUUUGUGCCACUCCCUGCUUGGUAGCUUAUCUUUGAAUAAUGUUGACAGCCGAAGGAUGUUUUGAUGAAUAAACUUCCAGAAAGAUCUCUGGCAUUCAGACAAUGAAUUGAUCAAAGCCUGAUCACAUUGUUCGAUUCCAGCCAAUGGAGUUUACUGGUAAACAUUUGGGAGACAUAAACAACGACAUUCCGUACUCCAUACAAGGUUUUGCAGAGUUUCACUGAUGUCCACUCAUAAGAACAUGGUCACGAUUUUUGUAUUAAAUAUAAGUAUAAUAGGUUUUGCAAGAGGUUCAAUGGAAAUGGAUUAAAUAGAUGUUUGAUUUCUGUAGUUAAAAUUGAGGGUGUGAAUAUGAGUGAAAGUAUUUUACUUUCUAUAAACAAAAGAUUUAAUGUUCCCAUAAAUGUGAAAAACUGCCUUAAUCUAUUGUCAGUAUAAAAUGCUAUUAUUCAUUUUGGCCAUUUUAGAAUGUUCAUGUGACGACUUGCAUUUUUUUAGCCAUAUUGUGCACAUUUUAAAUCAGUUGUCAAAAAUUUGGCAGAAUCAAGGAAUGCAUAGAUUGAAGAGACCAAUUAACAAUGUGCCAAAAAUGGCCUAAAUUUAGCACCUCUAAAACUUGGUAUUGCAUAGAAAUUCUGAACAUUUCAUUGGAUUUUGAUAUUUUCUGUUUUUGUUUUAAACAGCUUGCUUGUUCUAUGGAAUGAAAAAUGGGACAGAUAAUUAGAAAAUGUGCUUCCUUUUAGAAGGAAUUGUAGAAGGCAGUUGAAUCAUAUCUUUUUAACAUGAGAACAUGGCAGUCAGAUGAAUUUCUUCCCAUUUGCAAAACUACUGAGAGAGAACCUAUUCACUCGUGACCCAAGUUACCAUGAUGUCACUUGAAGUAGGGAUGUAGCCUUGCCCUCUUCCAUAAAAAGAACUUGAUUGAUUUAAAGCAUGGAAAAUUAAAAAUUGAUUUAACUGUUGUAAAGAUUGCUUUUAAAAGCUUUUCUAAUGGUAGUUAUCUUGGAUGAGGUCAAGUUGUACAUAUUUCAGUAAAGCGCAACUUUACAAAGUAAUCUGCCUAUGGCCAUAACGGUCUGAAAAAGUCUCAUCUCAGAACCUUGCAUUCUGAAGGUUUAUAUGGUGCACUGUUAGUGUCCUAACCACUUGGUCAAGGUGGCCUGGGUUUCAAAUCUACCCGCCUCAGUGAUGUCAUAUCAGAGCAAGUGGAUUGAAAAAUAUCCACACAAGUCAUCUGUAUCAUUUAAAAGGAUAAUGAUUUCACCUGUUUUAAAACAAAACUUAUACAGUUUGACUGACUUCUUUGAGUUUGAUCAUCUGUUUGCAAAAGAAGAAAGAUUUAUACAGAAUUUGCUAAUUGCUAAACAUUUUGACAAUUCCCCUAAAGAAGGUUAAAAUAUUGAAGACAUUCAACCUUGACCAUCUAAUGGUAUGCAAUAGUAACUGCUUUUGAAAACAUUUUCUAUUGCUGGCCACAUGUAAAACUUGAUAGCAUGUUUUCAGAGUUGACAGUUAGAAGAAAAAAUAGGGUAAUGUCAAUUUUGGAUUGUCAGAUGGUGAAGGAUAGAGCAUUGGAGACUUUUGGUCACUAUUGGAAUGUUUUAUUUGUAAUGACACAUAUUGCACUUUCAAUAAAAUAAAAUUCUUUAUUUCUGC